GUAUGGAAUGAGAAUGUUGUAGA
rnacentral:piRNA from 1 species